rnacentral:telomerase_RNA from 1 species
GAUAGUGAUGUUGCGGUGUAGAGAAAUGAUACUAUACCUAACCUAGCAUCUUCCAUUUAACCCUUUCCGCCGGAAGCUCUCGCUGGCACCCAAAUAGAGAGUUUGUUUGCCGCAACGUCUUUAAUUUUAUAA